AAGUCGUAACAAGGUUUCCGUAGGUGAACCUGCGGAAGGAUCAUUAUCGAGUUUUGACUGGGUUGUAGCUGGUCUCCCGAGGCAUGUGCACGCCCUGCUCAUCCACUCUACACCUGUGCACUUACUGUGGGCUUCAGACGUCGUGAAGCGGGCUCUUUACGGAGCUUGUAGAGCGUGUCUGUGCUUGCGUUUACCACAAACUCUAUCAAGUAUUAGAAUGUGUAUUGCGAUGUAACGCAUCUAUGUACAACUUUCAGCAACGGAUCUCUUGGCUCUC
rnacentral:misc_RNA from 1 species